UUUCCUACGGGGCGUAGCAGUGGGGAAUAUUGGGCAAUGGGCGCAAGCCUGACCCAGCAACGCCGCGUGAAGGAGGAAGGCUUUCGGGUUGUAAACUUCUUUUAAGAGGGAAGAGUAGAAGACGGUACCUCUUGAAUAAGCCACGGCUAACUACGUGCCAGCAGCCGCGGUAAUACGUAGGUGGCAAGCGUUGUCCGGAUUUACUGGGUGUAAAGGGUGCGCAGACGGCAGCGCAAGCCAGGAGUGAAAGCCCGGGGCCCAACCCCG
rnacentral:rRNA from 1 species